rnacentral:rRNA from 1 species
AUUGAACGCUGGCGGCAGGCCUAACACAUGCAAGUCGAACGAGUGGCGGACGGGUGAGUACUGUCUGGGAAACUGCCCGAUGGAGGGGGAUGACUACUGGAAACGGUAGCUAAUACCGCAUACCGUCGGCUGGGCCCAGAUGGGAUUAGCUCGUAGGUGGGGUAACGGCUCACCUAGGCGACGAUCCAUAGCUGGUCUGAGAGGAUGAACAGCCACACUGGAACUGAGACACGGUCCAGACUCCUACGGGAGGCAGCAGUGGGUAAUAUUGCACAAUGGGCGCAAGCCUGAUGCAGCCAUGCCGCGUGUAUGAAGAAGGCCUUCGGGUUGUAAAGUACUUUCAGCGAGGAGGCGUUACUCGCAGAAGAAGCACCGGCUAACGCCGUGCCAGCAGCCGCGGUAAUUC